rnacentral:lncRNA from 1 species
CCUUGUAUCCAGACAGGCAGCACCAGGGAACACUUUUAGCAGGGAAUAGCAUUCUUUGAACACCACUUUGCAAGAUGUUGCUAAAAGAAGAAAUCAAGAAUUACAAUUUCAUCAUAAUCAUUAUCUUCAACAAGUCUUCUAGAUACAUAAGAGGUCUGUGGACUAGUUUUACCUGUAAUCUUCAUUGCUGUGGAUAGCUGCCUUCACAGCUUUACAAGAAAUGGGAUAGUUUGAAAGCAAGAGUUCAACUCUAGGGUACAACUUCCCUAAAGAAAUUA